ACAAAGGCCAUUGUUGAGGCUGGAUCUGCGAUGGGAGGGAGAGAGACAGAAAAGGGAGAGAGCUCGACGGCUAUAAGAGAAGAAGAGAGGGGAAGACUGACUAUAGAGCCAGGAUUCGCCUGAUAAAUCAGGACAAGAACAAGUACAACACUCCAAAAUAUCGUUUUGUUGUGCGAUUUUCCAAUAAGGACAUUGUCGCACAAAUAAUAUCAGCUAGUAUUGCUGGGGAUAUGGUUCUUGCAGCUGCCUAUUCUCAUGAGCUUCCUCAAUUUGGGCUUGAAGUCGGUUUGACAAACUAUGCAGCAGCUUACUGCACUGGACUUCUGUUGGCUCGUCGAACUUUGAAAAAGCUUGAAAUGGAUGAGGAAUAUGAGGGCAAUGAGGAGGCUACUGGGGAGGACUAUUCAGUUGAACCAGCAGAGACUAGGAGGCCAUUCCGUGCUUUACUUGAUGUUGGGCUGGUUAGAACCACAACUGGAAAUCGUGUUUUUGGUGCUCUCAAGGGAGCUCUAGAUGGUGGUUUGGAUAUCCCUCACAGUGAUAAGAGGUUUGCUGGCUUUUCAAAGGACAGCAAGCAGCUUGAUGCUGAAGUUCACCGCAAGUAUAUCUAUGGUGGUCAUGUUGCUGCAUAUAUGAGUGUAAAUCUGGCGGGCUGAAUUUGUGUCUUAUGACUAUUAGUAGCAUCAAUUGAAGUUUUUGCUGUUGUAAUUGGACAUUCUUGUUUUAAUUGACUUGCUCUGUGUUCUUUCUGCAGACUUUGAUGGAGGAUGAGCCAGAGAAAUACCAGCUUCAUUUCAGUGAAUACAUCAAGAGGGGAAUUGAGCCAGAUGACAUGGAGGAGUUGUACAAGAAGGUUCAUGCAGCAAUUCGUGCUGAUCCCACUUCCAAGAAAUCAGAAAAGCAACCACCUAAGGAACACAAGAGGUUUGUUGCUAUUUGGUUAAUAAACGUGGACAUUUGUCUCUCGGCUAGUUAUAGUCUCAGUUUAACUGUUAGUGUUAGAUUAGAUAAACAUCACAAUUCAACUACCAUGUGAUCAGAUCUGACAUUGGGAAAUAUUUCAUAAGAUGUGUUUGGUUCUUGGCUCUCAUCUAAAUUUAUUACAUAUUGUUCGGUUCUCAUGGUCGUCUUUAGAUGCAUCUUUUAUAGGUUUGCCAUGGUUUUGGUGUGCAGUCAUGCUACCUUUGCGGAAAACCACCAAAAAUCGUGUUAUAUACUGUUUGCAUAUUGUUUAGCUGGUCUUCUGCACUUCCAUAUGACACAAGUUUGACUUGCUGCAUUAGUUAAUCCGUGUCAUUUUCCAUCAACCAUUAUGGGUGUUGUACAAUCUUUUGAUUGAAAUCUUAUUGUCUGUGUUUCACAGGUACAAUUUGAGGAAGUUGACGUACGAGGAAAGGAAAGCUAAGUUGAUUGAACGAUUGCAGGCACUUAACUCUGCCGCUGAUGAUGAUGAGGAUGAUGAGUAGAAGUAUAAUAUUGGCAUUUGAGUAUGAAUAUGCUAAAGUUUCCUUAGCGCACAUCCUACUUUUAAGUUUUGUUUGGAACCUAGUGUCUUAAAAGUUAUUUUUUGUUUAUUGUUUGGUGCAUUGGACUACUACUUUUUAGAUGACAAGAUUUUGAAAUGUUUAGUUUGGUAUGAAAUGCAAUUUCAAUUUUGACUUGGCAUUGUAAAACAUUUUCUGAUUUUAUUGGGUUCACCUUUUACCUUCUGUGGUUCUGAUAGGUUCAGUUUAUUCUUAUGCCUUUAGGAUACGACUGGAAGAUGUGUUUCUGUAGUGGUUGACGAGUUUGUCUUUUCAAAUCUAUUAUUAUAUCUUGGUUGAGC
rnacentral:misc_RNA from 1 species